GUAUCUUGGAGUCCCCGAGGUACCUUGUAAUGCCACCAUUGGAGGUCCCAAGUCCUCAUGAAAGGCAGAGGGAAAG
rnacentral:ribozyme from 1 species